CUUUCUCCAAGUGUAGGCUUUUCCUUGCCAGAGAUAGCUUUUGAAUAAGACUCUCAGUCUAAGAAGUUUCUGGCGGGGCUGUCAGCCAUCUUGGGCCCCCAGUGGCUGGGGCGGCAGGGGCUGACUCUUGGUCAAGGGAUGUUCUAGCCCAGAGCAAGGGAAGCCAGAGCCCCUAUCCCAUUCCUGGGCCUCAGAGAGAUUGCAGGACAUCCCGGCCCGACUCUCACUGUGUGACACAGCUUCAGAUCUUAAUGUAUUGGAAAGGUAUUCCUGAUGUUGUGCUUUUAAUCACCUCUUCCUCUCACCUCUGUGAAUUAUCCUGAAGAGUUCUUUAAGAAUAUAAUAGAAGACAAAGAAAGAUGCUAUUAAUGUUAUUUUGCCAAGAAUAUUUUUGUAGCAUAAUAUAUUAAUAAAAGAUAUCAUGACU
rnacentral:lncRNA from 1 species